AGGUCGUACAUGUAUGCAUUUCGAUUGAGACAACGUUACAAACCUUUCUCCGAUAAACAAUUUCGGAGGGCAAGUUCCUGGUGCCAGCAGCCGCGGUAAUUCCCAGCUCCAAUAGCGUAUAUUAACGUUGUUGCAGUUAAAAAGCUCGUAGUUGAAAUGAAGGGUGGUUGUGUAAUGAAUACAUUCGUGUAUUUUGUUAUUCUACUACCCUCCUUCUAAAUUCGAUAUAUGAGUAUUAAUUUACUUGUAUAUGGUUUUAGACGUUUACUGUGAGAAAAUUAGAGUGUUCAAAGCAGGCAUUUGCUUGAAUAUAUUAGCAUGGAAUAAUCAUGUAUGAUUUUCAUGAUGUAUUUGAUUGGUUUGGUUCAUGAGAAUAAGAUUAAAAGGGACAGUUGGGGGUAUUCAUAUUCAAUAGUCAGAGGUGAAAUUCUCGGAUUUAUGGAAGAUGAACAAGUGCGAAAGCAUUUACCAAGGAUGUUUUCAUUAAUCAAGAACGAAAGUUAGGGGAUCGAAGAGGAUUAGAUACUCGUAAAUCCUUAAAAAAA
rnacentral:rRNA from 1 species